UACAGAGGGUGCAAACGUUGCUCGGAAUUAUUGGGCGUAAAGCGCGCGUAGGCGGCUACCUAAGUCGGAUGUGAAAGCCCCUGGCUUAACCGGGGAAGUGCACCCGAAACUGGGUAGCUAGAGUGCAAAAGAGGGUCGCGGAAUUCCCAGUGUAGAGGUGAAAUUCGUAGAUAUUGGGAGGAACACCGGUGGCGAAGGCGGCGACCUGGGUUGACACUGACGCUGAGGCGCGAAAGCGUGGGGAGCAAACAGG
rnacentral:rRNA from 1 species